rnacentral:rRNA from 1 species
AGUGGGGAAUAUUGGACAAUGGGCGCAAGCCUGAUCCAGCCAUACCGCGUGUGUGAAGAAGGCCUUCGGGUUGUAAAGCACUUUAAGCAGGGAGAAAAAGUUAUAAGUUAAUACCUUAUAGCCUUGAUGUUACCUGCAGAAUAAGCACCGGCUAAUUCCGUGCCAGCAGCCGCGGUAAUACGGAAGGUGCAAGCGUUAAUCGGAAUUACUGGGCGUAAAGCGCGCGUAGGUGGUUUGUUAAGUUGGAUGUGAAAGCCCUGGGCUCAACCUAGGAACUGCAUCCAAAACUAACUCACUAGAGUACGAUAGAGGGAGGUAGAAUUCAUAGUGUAGCGGUGGAAUGCGUAGAUAUUAUGAAGAAUACCAGUGGCGAAGGCGGCCUCCUGGAUCUGUACUGACACUGAGGUGCGAAAGCGUGGGUAGCGAACAGGAUUAGAUACCCUGGUAGUCCACGCCGUAAACGAUGACAACUAGCUGUUGGGAGACAAUGUCUUUCAGUGGCGCAGCUAACGCUUUAAGUUGUCCGCCUGGGGAGUACGGCCGCAAGGCUAAAACUCAAAUGAAUUGACGGGGACCCGCACAAGCGGUGGAGCAUGUGGUUUAAUUCGAUGCAACGCGAAAAACCUUACCUACUCUUGACAUACUUGGAGGCUCUUGUAAUGAGAGUGUGCCUUUUGGAACCAAGAUACAGGUGCUGCAUGGCUGUCGUCAGCUCGUGUCGUGAGAUGUUCCGUUAAGUCGGAUAACGAGCGCAACCCUUACCCUUAUUUGCCAGCGAUUCGGUCGGGAACUAUAAGGGGACUGCCGGUGAUAAACCGGAGGAAGGUGAGGACGACGUCAAGUCAUCAUGGCCCUUACGAGUAGGGCUACACACGUGCUACAAUUGGAGAUACAGACGGACGCUAAGCCGCGAGGUGGUGCUAAUCCUAGAAAGUCUCUCGUAGUCCGGAUUGGAGUCUGCAACUCGACUCCAUGAAGUCGGAAUCGCUAGUAAUCGCGGAUCAGCAUGCCGCGGUGAAUACGU